UGUUUAAUGUCACGUAAACACGACAACAGACUAAACCAGCUACACUUCAUUCACCACUGAAAUUCAGUUUGUUUUUUAUCUUAAAUGAUUUAAAGGGAAUGUAAAAGUCUGUGUGGGAUAAAUAUGAUAAUAAAAUUAUGAGUCAUUUCAUUUUAGCUUCAUGCAGCUUGUAGUCACUUUGUGUAAGAAAGUGUAACCCAAAAGAUUAGAAAUGUAUUUGUGUGCACAUUAUAGUCGUUAUUUAUAUACAGUAACAUAUAUUUCCAUUCAAGCUAAACAGUUGAUUUAUGCCCAAAGUGUACAGACUCCUAAACUGAGCCGAUGAAAAUGCUGAACACAGCCUUAAACUGCUCAGGGAUUCGCUUUAUUCAUCCUCAUAACAAUCAUUCAUUUAGGACAUUAUACUGUAUAUAAUAAUAUUGCUGAAAGAAAUUUGGAACGCUUGGGACUUCCGGAUUCUUGGAACAGUGUUGCUAAGCAACAUGCCAUGGUGCUUUACCACGACGUGUCUUGCUUCUGUGACGUCACAGAACAUCUCGGUUUAUGAGAGAGAAAAAGAACUUUGAGCUUUCAGAUAUUCACUGAACUUUGUGCGAUUAAGGUGAUUAUUGUGGUUGUUCUGAUCAAGAGAGAAAAAUGAAUAAGUUUUUGAGUGCACUUGGCGCUGGUGUCGUGGACGUUCCUGUGCGCCCCCUGCUGUACACGGCCGGAGCUGCAGCCACCGCAGCCAGCAUUUAUUAUCAUGUGAAACGAGGCGAUGGAAAGAAAACAUCAUCAUCAGACCCCGAGGUCACAACUGAAGACCCAGUGUGUGACCAGGCCACGGAACCGGCUCUGCUCCAACCCACAGUGGUUCCUCAGGACCAGCUCACGGACGCUGUGACUGAGGCUGAGGAGAAGAUUCAGAAGCUUGUGGUGUCCAAUACUCAGCUGCAGGAGAGAGUGAGGGAGCUGGAGGAACUGCUCUGUGAGGCACGCAGAGAUGACAUGAAAAGCAAGGCCUCCCUGACUGAAGCGGUGGAGAAACAACAGAAGGCUGAGGAGACCCUCACUCAGCUGCAGGUGGAGAAGGCUGACCUGACCACCCAGGUGGAGACACAGCGAGGAAAAAUGCAGGACGUGGAGAAGAUGCUGUCUGAGACUCACAGGAUGUUUGACGAUCUAAUGAAUGAGUAUCAGAUGAAGAACGAUGAGAUGAAAAAGCGUCUGAUAGACACAGAGGAGAUACUGAAGUCCUCCAUGACUGAGGCUGAGGAGACCCUCACUCGGCUGCAGGUGGAGAAGGCUGACCUGACCACCCAGGUGGAGACACUGCAAGAGACAGUGCAGUACUUGGGGAACCUCCUCAAUGAGACUCACAGGUGCUCUGAUGAUCUAAUGAAUGAGUAUCAGAUGAAGAACGAUGAGACGGAGAAGCGUCUGAUAGAUGCAGAGGAGAUACUGAAGGCCUCCCUGACUGAAGUGGAGAAGAAACACCAGAAGGCUGAGGAGACCAUCACUCAGCUGCAGGUGGAGAAGGCUGACCUGAAAGAUCAUGUGAAGACACUGCAAGGAAGAGUGCAGGACAUGGGGAACCUGCUCACUGAGACUGACAGGGAGUGUGACAUGCUAAUGAAUGAGUGUGAGUGUGAGCGAGAGGCUUACAGCAACCUCAAGUCCGAGUACGAGGAGAUGAAGGAGACUCUCAUGAACAAGGAGGAGAUACUGAAGGCCUCCCUGACUGAAGUGGAGGAGAAACACCAGAAGGCUGAGGAGUCCAUCACUCAGCUGCAGGUGGAGAAGGCUGACCUGACCACCCAGGUGGAGACACUGCAAGAGACAGUGCAGGACUUGGAGACCCUGCUGUCUGAGACUCACAUCUGGGCUGCUGCUCUAAUGAAUGAGUAUCAGAUGAAGAACGAUGAGAUGAAAAAGCGUCUGAUAGACACAGAGGAGAUACUGAAGGCCUCCCUGACUGAAGCGGUGGAGAAACACCAGAAGGCUGAGGAGUCCAUCACUCAGCUGCAGGUGGAGAAGGCUGACCUGACCACCCAGGUGGAGACACUGCAAGAGACAGUGCAGGACAUGGAGAACCUGCUGUCUGAGACUCACAGGAUGUUUGAUGAUCUAAUGAAUGCCUCCCUGACUGAAGUGAUGGAGAAACAUCAGAAGGCUGAGGAGACCCUCACUCAGCUGCAGGUGGAGAAGGCUGACCUGACCACCCAGGUGGAGACACUGCAAGAGACAGUGCAGUACUUGGGGAACCUCCUCACUGAGACUCACGGGUGCUCUGAUGAUCUAAUGAAUGAGUGUGAGUGUGAGCGAGAGGCUUACAGCAACCUCAAGUCCGAGUACGAGGAGAUGAAGGAGACUCUCAUGAACAAGGAGGAGAUACUGAAGGCCUCCCUGACUGAAGCGGUGGAGAAACACCAGAAGGCUGAGGAGACCCUCACUCAGCUGCAGGUGGAGAAGGCUGACCUGACCACCCAGGUGGAGAGACUGCGAGAGACAGUGCAGGACUUGGGGAACCUGUUCACUGAGGCUCAGAUGGAGUGUGAUGAGCUAAGAGAUAUUUUUUCACAGAAACAUGGCGUAACUUUUAGAUCCCAGGAGGCAAGUGUUUGAGACAGAAGACAGUGAGAACAGAAAUGGAUCCUCAGCAGAAUCAACAUGACGGGGGAGGGACAUUUGGUGUCCCUGUGUUUAGCUAGAGUCCGAGAAAUGCUGCAACGUUCCCAAAGACGAGGUUGUCCUCUACAACUCUGUCCUUCUGUUUCAUUUCAUUGUCAGCAGUCACCACGUGGACAAUAGCAAGUUCCUGUUCUUCAUUUAGUAGGUAGACGUUGAAUCCUUAGAGAGACAGAAUGCAGGUUUAGAACAUGAUGUUACCUGUUCUGACGUACAGCGUGAAAGCAUUGGUCAAUUUGGCAGUAAAAAUCCAUUGUUUUGGUCUCGAUUGAGCUCGUGUGUAAAAGAAGUUCAAGCAUUUUAAAUUUGUGUUAACUAUAUGCAUUUUGUGUCAAAGCAACAAGAAAUGUGUUAAUUGUACAGCCUACACAGACGGGUGUUGGGGCGGCUGUGGAUCAGGUGGUAGAGCGGGGUGUCCACUAAUCGUAGGGUUGGUGGUUCGAUUCCCGGCCCACAUGACUCCACGUGCCGAAGUGUCCUUGGGCAAGACGCUGAACCCCAAGUGCCUUGCAUAGCAGCUCUGCUACCAUUGUGUGUGUGUGUGUGAAUGGGUGAAUGAGACACAGUAUAAAGUGCUUUAUAAGUGCAGACCAUUUACCAUUUAACUGUGUUAAGAGUUUAGGAAAAUUGUUAAAAGCAUUGAACAAAUGGUCAUAAUGGUGAAGAACUGGAAUCAGAUCAGUACGGUUCAUACUGUUGAAUUUAUCACUUUUUUUUUUCCGUUUGAUUUUAACUUCGCAUUUUUCACCCUUUGUACGUCAUAAGCUACAAGAAAAAAUACAACCAAGAAAUCAACACAAAGACUUUGACAAUCCCACAGAAAGAAAUAUGUGUAUUUAAGAAAAAAGUUUGUUUUUAGAUGUGAAUAAUAAAUGAAUAAAUAAAUGUUUUUGUCUGGA